UACGUAGGGUGCGAGCGUUGCCCGGAUUUAUUGGGCGUAAAGGGCGCGUAGGCGGCUCGGCACGUCCGUUGUGAAAUCGCCCGGCUCAACUGGGCGGGGUCGGUGGAUACGGCCGAGCUGGAGCAAGCUAGGGGGUAAUGGAAUUCCCGGUGUAGUGGUGGAAUGCGUAGAUAUCGGGAGGAACACCAGUGGCGAAGGCGGUUGCCUGGAGCUUUGCUGACGCUGAUGCGCGAAAGCGUGGGGAGCGAUCCGG
rnacentral:rRNA from 1 species